AGAGUUUGAUCCUGGCUCAGGACGAACGCUGGCGGCGUGCCUAAUACAUGCAAGUCGAACGCUUCUUUCCUCCCGAGUGCUUGCACUCAAUCGGAAAGAGGAGUGGCGGACGGGUGAGUAACACGUGGGUAACCUACCCAUCAGAGGGGGAUAACACUUGGAAACAGGUGCUAAUACCGCAUAACAGUUUAUGCCGCAUGGCAUAAGAGUGAAAGGCGCUUUCGGGUGUCGCUGAUGGAUGGACCCGCGGUGCAUUAGCUAGUUGGUGAGGUAACGGCUCACCAAGGCCACGAUGCAUAGCCGACCUGAGAGGGUGAUCGGCCACACUGGGACUGAGACACGGCCCAGACUCCUACGGGAGGCAGCAGUAGGGAAUCUUCGGCAAUGGACGAAAGUCUGACCGAGCAACGCCGCGUGAGUGAAGAAGGUUUUCGGAUCGUAAAACUCUGUUGUUAGAGAAGAACAAGGACGUUAGUAACUGAACGUCCCCUGACGGUAUCUAACCAGAAAGCCACGGCUAACUACGUGCCAGCAGCCGCGGUAAUACGUAGGUGGCAAGCGUUGUCCGGAUUUAUUGGGCGUAAAGCGAGCGCAGGCGGUUUCUUAAGUCUGAUGUGAAAGCCCCCGGCUCAACCGGGGAGGGUCAUUGGAAACUGGGAGACUUGAGUGCAGAAGAGGAGAGUGGAAUUCCAUGUGUAGCGGUGAAAUGCGUAGAUAUAUGGAGGAACACCAGUGGCGAAGGCGGCUCUCUGGUCUGUAACUGACGCUGAUGUGCGAAAGCGUGGGGAUCAAACAGGAUUAGAUACCCGAGUAGUCCACGCCGUAAACGAUGAGUGCUAAGUGUUGGAGGGUUUCCGCCCUUCAGUGCUGCAGCAAACGCAUUAAGCACUCCGCCUGGGGAGUACGACCGCAAGGUUGAAACUCAAAGGAAUUGACGGGGGCCCGCACAAGCGGUGGAGCAUGUGGUUUAAUUCGAAGCAACGCGAAGAACCUUACCAGGUCUUGACAUCCUUUGACCACUCUAGAGAUAGAGCUUUCCCUUCGGGGACAAAGUGACAGGUGGUGCAUGGUUGUCGUCAGCUCGUGUCGUGAGAUGUUGGGUUAAGUCCCGCAACGAGCGCAACCCUUAUC
rnacentral:rRNA from 1 species